AUGGGAUACCCCUUGCACCCCUGCAAAGGACUGUUCCAGCUGCUACGCGAUUCUAAUGGUUGCCGGGCAAAUCGCGGUGAGAACGGUUCUUGUACUGCGAUCAUCGAGAGACGGGGCACUGUGGAUUCAUGGACCACACACUAUCAGGAAGGGACUGGGACUACGGUGACGGUCACAGCCGAUUCCAUUUCCGCAGGUUCCCAGAGUCCGCCUCAACAAUCCUCUCUUUCUGGUGACACUGCCACCCUUAACUGUGUUUAUUCCGGAUUCUGCUCGUACACAGUACACUGGUACCGACAGUUCCCAGGACAGGCUCUGGAAUUCCUGCUCCAAAGACACACUUCAGGAAAGCAAGAUAAGGAAGAGGCUGCGGAAGGUCGUGUUUCUGGUUCUCUCGAUCCAGGCCAGAAAAUCAGUCAGUUAACGCUGUCUGAAGUUCUGCCGAGCGACGGGGCUGUGUAUUACUGUGGGAUGAGUCCGCGCAUCACACAGUGGCACGGCGCAGUGAGAUAG